rnacentral:rRNA from 1 species
UACGAAGGGGGCUAGCGUUGUUCGGAAUUACUGGGCGUAAAGCGCACGUAGGCGGAUUGUUAAGUCAGAGGUGAAAGCCUGGAGCUCAACUCCAGAACUGCCUUUGAUACUGGCAAUCUCGAGUCCGGAAGAGGUAAGUGGAACUGCGAGUGUAGAGGUGAAAUUCGUAGAUAUUCGCAAGAACACCAGUGGCGAAGGCGGCUUACUGGUCCGGGUACUGACGCUGAGGUGGCGAAAGCGUGGGGAGCAAACAGG